rnacentral:rRNA from 1 species
AUGGAAUUUCUAUUGGAGUGAUAAAAUACGUUGAUAAUAGAAGGAAGAUCUAUGGCGAAGGCAAUUAUCUGGGUAUAUACUGACACUGAGAAACGAAAGCUUGGUUAGCGAACGGGAUUAGAUACCCCGGUAGUCCAUGCUGUAAACGAUGAGUGCUAAUAUUUAGAAUUUUUAGAUAUAACAGCUAACGCGUUAAGCACUCCGCCUGAAAAGUAUAAUCGCAAGAUUGAAAUUCAAAGGAAUUGACGGGAGUCUACACAAGCGGUGGAGCAUGUGGUUUAAUUCGAUAAUACGCGCAGAACCUUACCAACUCUUGCCAAUUUAUAGAUAAAAUUUUUAUCUAUAAAACAGGUGUUGCAUGGCUGUCGUCAGCUCGUGUUGUGAAAUGUUUGGUUAAAUCCUUUAACGAGCGCAACCCUUGUUGUUAGUUGCUAUUUUAUUAUAAAAAAUAAAAGGACUUUAACAAGAAAAUUAAUGAUAGGUUAAUGGAAGGUGGGGAUGACGUCAAGUCUUCAUGGCCCUUAUGAGUUGGGCUACACACGUGCUACAAUGAUAAUUACAAUGAGAGGCAAUAAUGAUUAAGUUGGAGCAAAUCUUUAAAAAUUAUCUUAGUUCAGAUUAGGGGCUGAAACUCGCCCUUAUGAAGUUGGAAUCGCUAGUAAUCGCAAAACAGCAUGUUGCGGUGAAUAUGUUACUGGACUUUGUACACACCGCCCGUCACAUCGGGGAAGUUAAUUGUUUUUAAAGUAAUUUUUAAUUAUUUAAUAAUUUUAAAUAAUUAGUUAAUUAAAUUAAUUAAUUUAUAAUUUUAAUUAAACAAAUUAAAAUUCCUAGAAAGUGGUUAGUAACUUUGAUGAAGUCGUAACAAGGUAGUUGUAGGGGAACCUGUGUCUG